rnacentral:rRNA from 1 species
CAGCAAACGACUAACUCCUAGCCCCAAUACUGGACUACUCUAUGAUAAAAUAGAAGCAAUAAUGUUAAUAUGAGUAACAAGAAAUAUUUUCUCCUCGCACAAGUUUAAAUCAGUACCUGAUAAUAGACUGAUUGUUAACAGUAAAUAAAUAUAAUCCAACAAUAAAUAACUUAUUAACCACACUGUUAACCCAACACAGGAGUGCACUCAGGAAAGAUUCAAAGAAGUAAAAGGAACUCGGCAAACACAAACCCCGCCUGUUUACCAAAAACAUCACCUCCAGCAUUCCUAGUAUUGGAGGCACUGCCUGCCCAGUGACAAAUGUUAAACGGCCGCGGUAUCCUGACCGUGCAAAGGUAGCAUAAUCAUUUGUUCUCUAAAUAAGGACUUGUAUGAACGGCCACACGAGGGUUUUACUGUCUCUUACUUCCAAUCAGUGAAAUUGACCUCCCCGUGAAGAGGCGGGGAUGAACCAACAAGACGAGAAGACCCUAUGGAGCUUCAACUAACUAACUCAAAGAGAACAAACUUAAUCACCAAGAGAUAACAGCACUCUGUAUGAGUUAGCAGUUUUGGUUGGGGUGACCUCGGAGAAUAAAAAAUCCUCCGAGCGAUUUUAAAGACUAGACCCACAAGUCAAACCAAAUUAUCGCUUAUUGACCCAAAUAUUUGAUCAACGGAAUAAGUUACCCUAGGGAUAACAGCGCAAUCCUAUUCAAGAGUCCAUAUCGACAAUAGGGUUUAC